rnacentral:rRNA from 1 species
AUGCAAGCAGCAGAAUCAUGCAGUGUGUCGCUCAUCAUCGAGCUAGUCAUGGUUGAUCUUGAAGGACUGGAGCACUUCCUCCCUGCUGGCAUCGGCCGCAUCAUAUGCCUCCAUGAAUUCGCUGAAAGCAAAUUCCCUGUACUUGGCCGGAUUCAUCGCCUCAUUUCUGGCGCCGGUCUGAUGCGGCACCCGUCGGUGGGGUUCACGUGUGUGGCCGGUGGGGUUCACGUGUGUGGCCAUCGACAUCCUCGCCACAGCGGAGUUGGUGACGGCGAGGUGCUCCACACUGGCCAGCACCCCGUUGGUGACCAUCUCCAUCUGGUGGCCAAAGUUGACGACGAAUGCGCCGGGGAUGGGGUGGACGAGGAGCCACCUUUCACCGUGCCUUGCCUGUAG